UAGCAGCACGUAAAUAUUGGCGUAGUGAAGUAAAUCUUAAACCCCAAUAUUAUUGUGCUGCUUUA
rnacentral:pre_miRNA from 1 species